UUACGUUGUAGAUGUCUAUAGGCUCCAGU
rnacentral:piRNA from 1 species